UAACAACUCACCUGCCGAAGCAACUAGCCCUGAAAAUGGAUGGCGCUCUAGCGUCGUGCCUACACCGGGCCGUCAACGGCAAAGUGGGCUCGAUCCUUUCCGCUCUGCGGGCGGGACCGGGCCGUUACGCCUUGACGAGUAGGACGGUCGCGGCGGUGUGCGCAGAAGGGUCUGGGCGUGAGCCUGCCUGGAGCCGCCGUCGGUGCAGAUCUUGGUGGUAGUAGCAAAUACUCUAGCGAGGGCCUGGAGGGCUGAUGUGGAGAAGGGUUUCUUGUGAACAGCCGUUGCACAAGAGUCAGUCGACCCUAAGCCCUAGGAGAAGUCCGAUGUCGAUGGGGCAGUGCAUAAAAAGAGGAAAAGCGGACCGGCGCCGGUGGUGCGUUCGUGUGCCGAUUUUUUUCAAGCGAACGGCUCCCCGUUCGGGCGAAAGGGAAUCCGGUUCCUAUUCCGGAACCCGGCUGCGGAACCGUCACUUCGCGGGCACUCGCCUGCGAGCGCUCGUCGGGGUAACCCAAAGUGGCCCGGAGACGCCGGCGGGAGGUCUGGAAAGAGUUUUCUUUUCUUUAUAAGCGUUCGAGUUCCCUGGAAUCCUAUCGCAGGGAGAUAGGGUUUGGAACGCGAAGAGCACCGCAGUUGCGGCGGUGUCCGGACCUUCCCCCCGGACCUUGAAAAUCCGGGUGAGGGCUACGCGGAAACGUCGCGCCGGCUCGUACCCAUAUCCGCAGCAGGUCUCCAAGGUUAAGAGCCUCUAGUCGAUAGAAUAAUGUAGGUAAGGGAAGUCGGCAAA
rnacentral:rRNA from 1 species